rnacentral:lncRNA from 7 species
AGGCUGGUUGAAGAGUGCUGCAAGGUAUUCAGGCAUAACUAAACUCGGAGAAGGUGACACAAGGGUUGCUGUGUGCAAAACACAGGCCUGCCGCUUUCUCCUGGUUCAAGCCAGUACACAGUUGAAUCGCAGGCCGACGCUCAAAACCAAAUAGGUGUCAGUCGAGGGAAAUCAGUUUGAAAACCCUCACUGAAGUCAAUAGGAACUGAACGCACAUAUCAGAAGUCAAACUUCGUGUCUUUAUGAUUUUUAGAGCAUUUAAAAAAGCCUCUGGAGGAACACUCUUAUGAAAUAAAUUCUGAGGAUGCAAUUCUAAUCUUUCUGGAUUUGGGGACUGAUGCUGAAGAACUAAUAAUUACAAUUGGUGAAGGAAAAGCUCAUUUUCUCUGCAAGAGACCACAGGAAACUUUAGACACUACCAGAUAGUGCGAAGUGCAAACUUACUACACAGAAUAAGACUUGAACAUUUCUUAAAACACAUUGAUGAAAAGUCUAAAUUUACUAUGCCCCAAUAUUGGCAUAGGUCUCCCUUCCCAUGAGAGGAAACUCUAAAAUCUUAAGUGUGUUGCUAUUCAUCUAUUUACCUUACAGCAAAAAGAUGACACUGCUAAGAUUUGCGUAUCUUACAUAAUUCCUGGAAUUUCUUGUUGGAAUUGAAACUGCAAAGACAAGGAAAAGAAUCUGGUUAAUAUUUAUUUUCUACAACUUGACAAAAGCAUGGGCAGGAACAGAAGAAUAAUAAAUGUCUAUAGAAAACAGUGCAGCUUGGUGCAGAGAACCUGGAAACAUAUGUACCCAGUUAGAUGAAUUUGCUUUGUGCUGCACCUGAGCUAAUGACCCCUACUGAGAGGUUCAUAGUAUAGAUUAAGUGUUGCAACACAAUCAAGGCACUAUAGAUCAAUGUAUAGAUCUAUAGAUCUAUAGUCUACCUUCAGUCCUCAUAAAGAUACUGAAAUACAUCUAUAACAAUCUGUUUGAAAGUGUUUAGGGUAAAAUCUUACCUUCUUUGGCCAGCUAAACAUUAUAAUUACAUUCUGAGUGUGAAACUCCAUGCUGAAGGAUAUUGUAGACAAUCGUUUCAGGAUUUUUAAAGAAAGUAGGCAACAGAAAUGAAUAGAUGGGUCAUUAAAGGCCAUUAAAACACUAGAUUGGGUGCAGGAAGUUUCUGGGUUGAAAAUUGCUCAAUUAUGGGAAAGUGAUCCUAGGGUAGUAUCUGUACUAGCUGGCAUGUUUUAAUGUACAUUCUACUUUAUAAGAAGCAUCGUACAUGGCUAUAUGAAUCUAUUUGUUUGACUAAAAGCAUUUGUGGUGAGACACAGUCAUCUUUUUCCACUAGAAUCAAUGGACAUUGGAAACACUUCCAUGUGAUGUUCUAGAUGCUAUCAUCAGAAAUAUACAUGAAGCUGAUUGAAAUAUUUUAUUUUUUAAGAAUCAAAAGGCUGUAAAGGUAGGCAAUAAGAACGUUCCUGUAUAUAGUGGAUAACAUAACAGAAUAGGAACUCAGUAGAAAGUUCUUCACUAAGUUUGUUUAGGUGCACCUUAGAUGAAUAUCUACAAGGAGUGAUUGCAGUAUGUAGAUGAUUACAUUCCUGCCUUUUUCUACGCAGCUGGAAAAAUUACACUGACGCUGUUAUUGGACAGUGUAUUUUAUAAGCCACUGUUCUGUGUUGUGCUCCAUCAAAUCUGUGCUCAGGAAAUUAUUUUUGACAGUAACAGGACUGUUCAAUCCCAGAGACAUAACUGUGAGAUGUGGGAUGUGCAGUUUUUAUUUAUAUUUAGUAUACCACAUUAAACACAAUGAACAAAAGAUCAUGGAAAACUGUCAAAACAAUAAAUCAUACUUGUUCCUG